CCUACAGUACCAAACAUAGAUAUCAAAGACAUCAUCAAUUCUAGGAUGUUUGUUGGAUGUGUACACUACACUAAUUAGCUAUGAUAAUAUAUAAAUUCUAUUAUUCAAUUAUCCAUUCAUCACAUUAAUAUUAUUCAUAAUGAUAUUAAUUUUUUUUUUAUUGAAAUCUCAUAACCGUUCAUGGCCAAAAGGUCUAUAGAAAU
rnacentral:lncRNA from 1 species